rnacentral:lncRNA from 1 species
CUCUGCUUCUCAGUAGAUUUUUUCUGGGCCUGCUGGGGACAGUGGCAACGCUGUGGCCUGUUCAGGGCCGAUAGGAGGGAGAUAGAAGGGGCGGGGAGCUGGCGAUCCAUCAUCUCCCCUCCCACCAGGAGCAGACCAGGGCGGUUUUGGAAACCAGGUUUUCCUGAUCUUAGCAUCACACUAACACGUGUACACACACCCCCGCCCUAGGAGAUUACACACAGAUACACUGACAUGUUUUCUCCCCACGUGUCUGCCCUGUGAGCUGCUUCCAGGGUCAAUUUCCCGAGAAGCCCCCUUGUGUGGGUCUCCCUCCCUCCUCCCCCAAAUGAAAACCUUCCAUGACUCCUUGGUGUCUAUGGGGUGACUCAGACUCUCUAGCCUCACGUUCAAGGUCUUCCCUGAUCUGGUCCCAACCUGACUUCCUAGCCUGGUCCCCCAUAAUCCUCCAACAGAGGGGUCUUCCUGGGAGUUCCCGUCGUGGCUCAGUGGUUAACGAAUCCGACUAGGAACCGUGAGGUUGGGGGUUCGAUCUCUGGCCGUACUCAGUGGGUUGGGCAUCUGGCGUUGCCAUGAGCUGUGGUGUAGGUCGCAGACGCGGCACAGAUCUGGCGUUGCUGUGGCUGUGGUGCAGACCAGCAGCUACAGCUCCAAUUAGACCCCUAGCCUGAGAACCUCCAUAUGCCGUGGGAGCGGCCUUAGAAAAGGCAAAAAGACAACAACAACAACAACAAAAAAAGUGUCUUCCUGAAGAAAGACUCGUCCUAUGCAUUUACAUUUCCUCCUCCAGGGUGGAUCACCGGGGACAAGCCUCUUCCCAUGCACAUCUCUACUGGGUCAGGGCCACCUCCUCCGGGAGGCCUCUUUGAUUGCCUCAGCCUCCAGCAGCUUCUUCCUUACAUGUCCCUGACAUUCCGAGGCAAGAGUCAGGCCCACACCAAGCGCAUCGUGGAUGCUCCGUGUCAAUCGCUCGCUGGCCAUGAUCUCAUCUUCAGUGAGUCUGGGGGCCUCACACACAUCUCAGGGAGG